CACCUUCUCCUCUGCCUUUUACUUUCCAUUUCUAGGGACUACAUAUCCCAUGGUACUUUUCUGCUUGCAAGCAGUAAUUUCUGUACUGACUCCACCUCCUGAAACUCCUCUCAGACUACGCAAAAUGUGUGGCACAGCAGCGAUUAUCAGUAUGGCAUAGUGAAUACAUGUCACAGAAUUCAAGGAAUUGAAUGUGCGGGGAUCAUCACAGAUGGGAUACACACACGUUAUAUUUUUAAAGGAAUUCCCGUCAAGGUGUCUGCUGAAUAUUGAGUGUUUUUUACCACCAAGGGCUUUUUUGUGGCACAAAACAUACAGAAAUAAUGCAUCAUUUUAGAGAGAAAAUGCGUGGGAAUGCCGAAUAGCUGAAUUGCUAAAGCUAACUGGAUGAAUAGCUUAAAUCCGGAAGAAAAAGUUGGAAAAGUAGG